rnacentral:rRNA from 1 species
CGCCAGACUCCUACGGGAGGCAGCAGUGGGGAAUAUUGGGCAAUGGAGGCAACUCUGACCCAGCAACGCCGCGUGAAUGAUGAAGGUCUUCGGAUUGUAAAGUUCUUUUCUAAGGGAAGAAGAAAGUGACGGUACCUUAGGAAUAAGCCUCGGCUAACUACGUGCCAGCAGCCGCGGUAAUACGUAGGGGGCAAGCGUUAUCCGGAUUUACUGGGUGUAAAGGGAGCGUAGACGGCAGGGCAAGUCUGGAGUGAAAGGCAGGGGCCCAACCCCUGGACUGCUCUGGAAACUGUCCGGCUGGAGUGCAGGAGAGGUAAGUGGAAUUCCUAGUGUGGCGGUGAAAUGCGUAGAUAUUAGGAGGAACACCAGUGGCGAAGGCGGCUUACUGGACUGUAACUGACGUUGAGGCUCGAAAGCGUGGGGAGCAAACAGGAUUAGAUACCCGUGUAC